rnacentral:lncRNA from 1 species
UAAAGGUGGGAAUCCAGGGACUCAAGGUCUCAGGGACCAAGAGCACCCCCUCAAGAAACCACACUGCUUUUGUUGUGCUCUUGAGGAUGACGUCAAGUGAGGAGGGAGCUAUAGGUGUAGGAUAUAGGGUUUGUUUAUUAUAUUAUAAGUUCUUUUAUUAUUUUAAAAGUCACUUAGCUGGUAGAUGGUUAAGCUUUUACUCUGACCUUUAGGCACAUAACAAUCAUUAGCAUUUGAGUUCCAUUAGCAUUCCAGAGAAUCCUCACUGUGCUUCCGCAAAUGGCAUGCCUAUUUGCGGCAACCCGGUGUGCCUAGGUUUGCACCUUUGUUCUCUUUGCUAAUGCAUAUUCUGCUAAUGACUGCUCAUAAACUACUUGGCCAUGAGGUUCCUCUUUCUCUCAUUCUUUAGAGGACAUAUCAUGCUUGUUCAAAUGGCCUGCCAAUCUGCACAGAUCUGGCGUGCCUAGACCAACGCAUUAUGUCCUCAUUCAGUUGACCCUAUGAAUAGCUUAUGCUUUUAGGUCUUUGUUCUUAAGCUUAAGUCAUUUAUCAUCACUGUGACUGUUUUUCAAGCAGGAAGAUGGGAUAAAGUAAAGAGGACAAGAUGGAGUUUUCAGUGAAGAGGCUAAGAAAAUAUUGCAGAUACAUGUCUCAUGACACUAAUGAACAACCCAGCUUAUCUUUUCUUGAGAACUGAGAGAAAUUGCCUCCAUGGAUCUUCAUAAAGGAGAAGCUUUCUCAAAUAAUGAACGAUGUCCUCUACUUAAAACACACACACACACACACACACACACACACACACACACACACACACACACACACACACACAUCUCAAAUGAAUUUCUAAUGAAAGCAAGUACAAUGCUGCGGUUAGAAAGUGGAGACUUAGAGGACAAAGAGUUGGGGUUUAGAUUCAGCUCUGGCACUGCCACCUAUGUGACCUCAUUUAAGUGUUUCUUAUGGAGGACCUCAGUUUCCUUCCAUGGAGAAAAGAAAAUCACUAAGUUCAUAGGACUGUGAAUAUGAAUAAUUCCUGUAAAGAUGAGGCUUGGCCAACACACACAAAAGGGCAAUUUCUGUCAGCCUUUAACAUUGUAAUUUUUCUUCAUAAUCAGGUAUUCAACCCAUAUUUAUUGAAUGCUUGCUAUAUGCAAGGCACUAUUUCUAGACACUGGAGAUGCAGCAGUGAACAAAACAGAUCCAAAUCCCUAUCCACAGAGAGCUUGGAGGAGGCAGGCAACUAUCAAAAUAUUUAAGUAAAAUGAAUAAUAUGGUAGGAGACCAUAAAUGCUGUGGGAAAAAAUAGAAAUGAGGAUUAACAAUGCCAAAGGUGAGUGAGGGUAGUAGUCUUAGUUUCAAAUAAGGUAGCUGGGAAGGCAUCUCCUGAAGGUCAGGUUAGAAGGCAUGUGUGUAUCUGGAGGAAGCCAUGCUGGACAGAGGAGCAGAGUGGCUAUUCUCAGAAUGUUUGAGGAAUAAGGAAACCAGUUUGGGGUAAAAUAUAAUGAGGAGAGUGACAGAAGAUAUGGACAGGGAGCUAAUGAGGGACAAGAGCCAUUUGGACCAUGUAAUCCCUUGUUGCUGAUUGGAGAGUAAAAGCAGAGAAUGAUAGGAUGUGACUUAACAUUUGCAUAGGGUCUGCUGAUUCUUCUACCAGGAGGGUUUCAGACUUGUCCACAUGAGGCAGUAGCAAUAAAACCUUGCAUCAGGGUGGAAGCCAUGGAGGUGGUGAAAACUAAUAGACAUCUAUAAAUAUUUUUGGAGUUGGAGGCCACAAGAUGUAAAGGAUUACAUGUGGGAUAUCAUAGGAAAAGAGGAAGCAGUGAUGGCUUCAAAGCUUUUGGUUUGAGCAGAUGGAGGGACGGAGUUGGUACCACUUGGGUAAGGUCAGAGAGGUACUUGGGAAAGAUUGUGGGACUAGCCAGUUUCAGGGAGAAUAAUAUCAGCAUCAACAUUAUCAUUGUUACUUUUAAGAGUAUUACUAUUUUUCUCAGAACAAAGUGAUGGCAUGCCACCAGCAUACAAUUCAGAGAAAGCACUUCAGUGAGGAUCUGAGGGGAUAUAGUGUAAGUAUGCAGCUUUUUGAUGGUUUAAUAACUAAAACAAGGAAUUAAUGAACUGCUUAUCCUUCAGGCAUUCUCCCAUAUUAUUUCUUACAACUGAAAUGUUGACAGUAUUUGGACCACAGAAUUCUUUGGCAAGAAACUGUCAUGUUUAUGCAACUGCCUAGGGAAAAACCCAUGGGCUUUGAUAGUCAAGUGGAUAGUAUAAUUAAUUAACUACAAUGAGAAUGGAAAGAGUUGUGGCUAAAGAGGAGAUAAUCACUCCACCAUCACGUAGAGGACGCUGAGGGAAUAAAUGGUCAGGAAUAAAUACUUUUGUCAGAAAACAAUACUUUAGACAAAUGGGGAAAUAAAGGCCCCCAGAAUCUUUUCCAUAGAGCAUUUCCCUAAUAAUUGUAGCCUAGAAAAAUUUCAAAGUGAUAUUACCUAUAACCUACCAUAGAAAAAUUUCAUCAAUGGACCCUUGAGGGUUGUUGUUUUAAAGUAAUAGAACUUUUGGAUGAAUUCUGUAGGACUAAUUAAGUUGCAGAACUACCCCUCUGAAUACCUAAGUGGAUUAACCUGUAAGACGUUACGGUUGCAGGAUGACUGUAGGAGGACGUCUCCCUUGUAUAGAGAUUUUUUUUGCUUUUAGAAUAUUAGUCUUUAAAUCAUUUUUCUUGACAGUAGUUGGAUAUCAUAGUCAGUUGUUCACUGAGACAUCUUUUACUUUGAGAUAAUAAAAGUACAUCAUUAGCAAACUUCUACUUAGUGUGGUAGAAGUACAUGCAUCCAAAUCAACCAGAACCAGUUUCAAUUCAUGAGGAUACCUGUUAAGAAAAGACGGACAAAACACACGGCUUUUUCAGACCAUUCAAAAUUAUUCUCCGAAAUUUUGUCAGUAUCUCCAGAAAAGAUGAUUGCUUGAGAAUUUUUAGGGGGAGAAUAACUCCUAAGAAAAAUAUCUAGAAAAAUAUAAUAAUAGGGGAAAUCUGCAGCAAUACUAGAAACUAGGGAAUAAACAAUAAAACUGCCACUAACUUGAAAUGCUUUGUACUAGAAUCAGUGUAGAUGGGACAAGGAUAAAGAUGAGAUUACUUGUAAGUCACUGGCCCAGAAGAAAAGUUUAUCUUAUCUGAAGUAUGCAAUCAAUAUUCUGGAGGACUUAAGGCUUCCUGGACUUGAAGGAGUGAACUUAGAGACUGACCAGGCAAACCCCAUAUAGGGCCCUAAUGAGUCAUAUGGAUCAAAAGAAAUCUCAUAAGUUGUCCCUGGGAACUCAGUAAAGGGAACAGAAGAUCUUCAGUAAUAAUGACAGCAAUGAGUUGACUCAACACUUCAUCAACUUCCAUGAUGAAAUUGAAUUGGAACACAGGGAACUGUUGACCUGGAAUAAUGUUAUCCUGCUAUCGAGUGGGAGGUUCUGUUGACUAGAAGGUUAAUAAGAUUGGUCCAAAGUAAUGCAACAUUGGUACACUUGGAAGAAAGCUAGGUCUCACCAAAUCUAGCUACUGACCCAGAACCUUCUGCAAACACAGAGGAGAAAGCAUGCAGAGGUGCAGCUGACUCACUGGGAUAUUCACUCCUCUUAACCACUAUGUCAAACACAUGAGCAGUAAGCCCUCCACAGAGCUUUAAAAGAAUUUCUCUAACAGCAUGCCAGUGGAAAAUGAGAAAGCCUAAGAAGAAUCCCUUUGCCCUGAUUUUGUGGGGAAAUACCAGGCAUGAAUAGCCUUGCCAAUUUUGACAAGUAGCAAAAGAAAUCAAAGGGGCUUAUGAAAAGAUUAUAUAAUAAAAUGAAGCAUAAAGCCCACAAGAGGCAGAGGGAAAUCAUUUUUUUAAAGAAAUAGGCUAUUUUUAGAGCAGCAGAAAUUGAGAAGUUACAGACUAUGCUCCCACACAUGCGUAGUCUCCCCCAUUAUCAGUACCCCUUGACCAGAGUGAUACACUUGUCACAAUCAAUGAAUCUACAUCUACACAUUAUUAUCACCCAAAGCCCAUAGUUUACAUUCCACUAUACUCUUGGUGUAAAUUCUGUGGGUUUGGAGAAAUAUAUGGCAUAUAUCAGAUUAUUUAACCUGCCCUAAAAGUCCUUUGCUCUCUGCCUAUUCAUCCUUCUCACUCUCUUUCAGCCCCUGAUAAGCAUUUUCUUCUUUACUGUUUCCACAAUUUUGCCUUUUCGAAACUUUCAUAAAGUUGGAAUCAUAAAAUACGUAGCCUUUUUAGAUUGGCUUCUUUCACUUAGUAAAAUGCAUUUAAAUUUCCUUCUUUUUGUGGCUUGAUAACUUAUUUUCUUUCAUGUGUGUGUGUGUCUGUGUGUGUUUAGGGCAGCACCCAUGGCAUAUGGAGGUUCCCAGCCUAGGGGUCGAAUUGGACCUAUAGCUGCCGGCCUACACCUCAGCCACAGCAAUGCCAGAUCUGAGCCGCAUCUGCGACCUACACCACAGCCCACGCCAACACCAGAUCCUUAACCCACUGAAUGAGGCCAGCGAUCGAACAUGCAUCCUCAUGAAUGCUAGUCAGAUUUGUUUCUGCUGAGCCAUGAUGGGAACUCCAGAUAGCUCAUUUUCUUUUAGUGCUGAAUAAUAUUCCAUGUUCUGGAUGUACCAUUGUUUAUCCAUUCACCUUCAAAGGACAUCGUCAUUGCUUCCUGGUUUUGGCAGUUAUGUAUAGGACUGCAAGAAGCAACCAGAAACAUAUUCUUGAAAAAACAUUUUAUAUAUACACCAGGAAAUUUCAUAUUCUAUUUGCUUUUGUCAUUUUUGACAGAAGAAAACAUAGACUGUCUAAGAAGAGAGAUAAAAGGUGAAAGAAAAGAAAUUAUUAAAAUGGAGCUGUCUGGGUGGCGAACAAGUUUGAAGAGAAAUCAGUAAUACAAGAAAGUAAGUUUAUGAAGUUAUAGAAGAGUUUUUAAAUGUUUUUAAGGCAAUUAAGAGCAGAAACUAUUCAGCAGACAACUGAACAAAGUGUUAUAGAUCUCACAAUGUGGAUAAUAACAACAAACAUUUAACUAAGCAGAAAAGAAAAAGAUAAAUGACUUGGAAAACAACAUAGAACUGCAAGAGAAAUUGGAACAUAUUAAAAAUGAUAUUAGGAGUUCUUGCUGUGGCUCAGCAGUAACAAACCCAACUAGAAUACUUGAGGGUGCGGGUUUGAUCCCUGGCCUCACUCAGUGGGUUAGGGAUCUGGUGUUGCCGUGAGCAGUGUCAUAGGUUGCAGAUGUGGCUCGGACCUGGCAUUGCUGUGACUGUGGCUGUGGGGCUGGCAGCUACAGCUCCAAUUGGAUCCCUAGGCAGGGAACUCCCAUAUGCCACAGGUGU